rnacentral:rRNA from 1 species
ACGUAGGAGGCAAGCGUUAUCCGGAGUUACUGGGCGUAAAGGGCGUGCAGGCGGUUGGCUAAGUUCGUUGUGAAAGCUCCCAGGCUUAACCGGGAGAGGACGUGCGAGACUGUCGGACUAGAGGCAGGUAGAGGCAAGUGGAAUUCCGGGUGGAGUGGUAAAAUGCGUAGAGAUCCGGAGGAACCCCAGUGGCGAAGGCGACCUGCUCGGCCUUGCCUGACGCUCAGACGCGAAAGCAUGGGGAGCGAACGG